rnacentral:rRNA from 1 species
UCCCAGACUCCUACGGGAGGCAGCAGUGAGGAAUAUUGGUCAAUGGCCGGGAGGCUGAACCAGCCAAGUCGCGUGAGGGAAGACGGCCCUACGGGUUGUAAACCUCUUUUGUCAGGGAGCAAGGUGCAGGUCGGGACCUGCUGUGAGAGUACCUGAGGAAAAAGCAUCGGCUAACUCCGUGCCAGCAGCCGCGGUAAUACGGAGGAUCCGAGCGUUAUCCGGAUUUAUUGGGUUUAAAGGGAGCGUAGGUGGAUUGUUAAGUCAGUUGUGAAAGUUUGCGGCUCAACCGUAAAAUUGCAGUUGAAACUGGCAGUCUUGAGUACAGUAGAGGUGGGCGGAAUUCGUGGUGUAGCGGUGAAAUGCUUAGAUAUCACGAAGAACUCCGAUUGCGAAGGCAGCUCACUGGACUGCAACUGACACUGAGGCUCGAAAGUGUGGGUAUCAAACAGGAUUAGAUACCCCAGUA